GACGAACGCUGGCGGCGUGCUUAACACAUGCAAGUCGAACGGAAAGGCCCUGCUUGCCGGGUACUCGAGUGGCGAACGGGUGAGUAACACGUGGGUGAUCUGCCCUGCACUUCGGGAUAAGCUUGGGAAACUGGGUCUAAUACCGGAUAGGACCGCACUUUAGUGUGUGUGGUGGAAAGUUUUUUCGGUGUAGGAUGAGCUCGCGGCCUAUCAGCUUGUUGGUGGGGUAAUGGCCUACCAAGGCGGCGACGGGUAGCCGGCCUGAGAGGGUGUACGGCCACAUUGGGACUGAGAUACGGCCCAGACUCCUACGGGAGGCAGCAGUGGGGAAUAUUGCACAAUGGGCGCAAGCCUGAUGCAGCGACGCCGCGUGGGGGAGGAAGGCCUUCGGGUUGUAAACUCCUUUCGCUAGGGACGAAGCUUUUUGUGACGGUACCUAGAUAAGAAGCACCGGCUAACUACGUG
rnacentral:rRNA from 1 species